UUAAAAACUUUGAGGGAAAGAUUUCCAUAGAGAGGACAAUAUCUGCUAACGGUAGACUUUCUGUUACAGAAGGUUUCUUGAUUGAUUCAACAUAGACGCCACUAUGUUAUAUCUCCACACAACCUGUUGAGAUUAGCAGUACAAGCGGUAUUAAAUCGAACCCAAGGAGCGUGCAAGAGCAUCUAUAUCUUCGACACCACGCCCAUCAUAAACACACCAUGCACAUCGUUAACCCACUUCAAACUCCGAUACCAAGGGACAGGGGGACUUGGAUUUUCUUAGUUGGAAAUUUGCUUCAACCCCAAGGUAUUUCUUCAACUUCUUCAAGAACAAAAACUUACUUCUAUCGAUGAUUCUGUUGCCAAAAACAAGUAGUCUCUUCUUCUUGCUUCUUGCCAUUGUUCAUCUGUUUAAUCCAUUAGAUGUCAGGCUAUUGCAUGUUAGUUAGAUUUGAAGUUUGAAAGUUUUUGGGAUCUCUGUGGCACUUGGUUUGAUGAACUUAUGAGUAGAAUUAUCUGAAAAAA